UUUCAUUUUUUCAUGCUUUUAAUAUUUUCACGAAGUGACGGUAGUGAAAAUUUCGCAGUUUGGAACAGUCACAGACCAUGAAAAGUUUCAGAUGCAGUAGAUACAAUUUGCACUUAUAUGAAGGAAGACUGGGAAAGUACAUCUACUUUUCAAGAAUGCCACAGGCCAGACACAAAUCCAGAUUGGAUACAGGGACCGACAUGCUGUUAAGAUGGGUCCUCGAUAAUUCACUGAACACAGAGCUGCAGAUGUGACUCGGCAUAGUGACCUAAGAGUGGGAGCGGUAUGGAACCGUUGAAGCAAUUCACCGAACACUGUUGAAGCAAUUCACCGAACACAGUCAGAGCUGCAUGUGUGACUUGGCAUGGUGACCCUUAAAGUCUCCUGAUGGCUCCGAUUGCGAUUCUG